CUUGGAGGAAUGCAUAGCGAAAGCUAGUUACAUUACAGUAAUGUGGUGUAGCCUCGACUACGUCGAAUAAAGUUCCAAGUAGAUUUUUAUAAUGAAAUAAUCUACUUGUAAGUCUUGACCAAAUUACGUGCCAGCAGUCGCGGUAAUACGUAGAAGACCAGUGUUAUUCAUCUUUAAUAGGUUUAAAGGGUACUCAGACGGGGUAAGAGCGAAAGCUGUGAAUUAUGUAAUAACUGACGUUAAAGGACGAAGGCCUCGACGCAGCAAAUGGGAUUAGAUACCCCAGUAGCACAGCGCAGUAAAUGAUGAGUGUCAUAUAAUAGAUUUUUCUGUUGUAUAAAUGAAAGUGUAAGCACUCCACCUCAAGAGUAAUUUGGCAACAUUGGAACUGAAAUCAUUAGACCGUUUCUGAAACCAGUAGUGAAGUAUGUUGUUUAAUUAGAUGUUCCGCAAAAAACCUUACCACAAUUUGAAUAUAGAAAUUAUAAUUUCUGUACAAGCGCUGCACGGCUGUCUUCAGUUGAUGUCGUGAGAUUUUGGUUAGUUCCAUUAAAUCAACGUAAACCCUUACUUUAUUUAUUUAUAAAGUAGUUCGCCGUUAUAUAGGAAAUUAUAAUAGGGACUAAGACAAGUCAUCAUGGCCUUAAUAUUGUGGGCUAUAGACGUGCCACAUAAGCCUUACAAAGAGAUGCAAAAUUGCAAAAUUUAGCUAAUCUC
rnacentral:rRNA from 1 species